rnacentral:rRNA from 1 species
GACGAACGCUGGCGGCGUGCCUAAUACAUGCAAGUUGAGCGAUGAAGCUUGGUGCUUGCACCAAUUUGAAGAGCAGCGAACGGGUGAGUAACGCGUGGGGAAUCUGCCUUUGAGCGGGGGACAACAUUUGGAAACGAAUGCUAAUACCGCAUAACAACUUUAAACAUAAGUUUUAAGUUUGAAAGAUGCAAUUGCAUCACUCAAAGAUGAUCCCGCGUUGUAUUAGCUAGUUGGUGAGGUAAAGGCUCACUAAGGCGAUGAUACAUAGCCGACAUGAGAGGGUGAGCGGCCACAUUGGGAGGGGGACACGGCCCAAACGCCUACGGGAGGCAGCAGUAGGGAAUCUUCGGCAAUGGACGAAAGUCUGACCGAGCAACGCCGCGUGAGUGAAGAAGGUUGUCGGAUCGGAAAACUCUGUUGGUAGGGAAGAACGUUGGUGAGAGUGGAAAGCUCAUCAAGUGACGGUAACUACCCAGAAAGGGACGGCUAACUACGUG